GCCUGUGACUGGUGGAUCUUUUCUUGUUACAUCAAUUCCUCCCCUUCUCCUGCCUCCCACCCUUCGUUCCUCAGUGCUGAACCUUUCCACCUCUGUUCCCAUCCAAGGCAACUAAAACUAUGACACUCAGCGGCCUUCCUCUUCUAUCUUCUCUGCUUAAGAAAUGACAAAUCCAGCCUUGGGAAGAGACGUGAUGAUACCUCACUGUGGAGAGAGUGAAAGCAGUCAGGGUGCUACCUGCCAGGAGUGCAUGGAGCAAGUGCAUCACCAAUUUCACUUAAAAAAAAAAAAAAGGCCGUUAUUCAUGUCAAAGCAAUGCAAUUAGCAUGGAAACCAUUGGCACAAGGAAUGAUAUCCAAACCAGUCUCUGAAACCCCAGACUUUCUAUUUCUGAUGUGGGAUUCCAGUCUUAAAAAGGUUUUCUCUCUCUUUAAAAACUGACUACCUAUAAAGCAACAUCCUCACCCAACACACAUUUUGGGGAAUACCAUAAACUUUAAAAAAUUCUACAUUUGAAGGAAAAAAAUACAUGAUUAGUUAUUAACUCCAAGUCUCAAACUGCAAACAUGAGUGCAAAUCAGGGUGACGCCUGCAGGUGCACGACGACCAAGCCAAACCAGACUGCUGGACUGAGAAGCCACUUGCCCUCUCCCUGGCCUCCUUGCCAGCGUCCCACAGGCUGGGACAGGUGGCCGACUCUCUCCAAGUGCCUAGGGCCAUCUUGUCCCCACACCACAGAAGAUGAAGAUCUGUUCCCUGGGACCGACUUAGGAGGCCGAGGGGCCCCAAUGCCAUGUGUGGAGUUCAUUUGCUGGGACACACAAAACUACACGAAGUGAAGGGUGGACACGUUUCCUCGGACAUCAAUGAAGGAAGGGGAAACGUGUCAAGCAAAUCUUCAGAUUGUAGGUAUCCCAAUCCUUCCCCGGAUUAGUCAAUCCAUUUGUAUCCUUACAAAUUGAGUUUCUGUGUUACUAAGUAUACCCGUAUUCAAUUGAAGUUGCUACAGAAUCAUAAAAACAUCUUUCAACUUAUUUUCUCAAAUCCAGCAGACCAUGGGGUGGUUACAUUUUGCCAUCCACAAGGGCUGCAGUGGGAGGUGAUGAGCAGCCCUGGCCGCGCAGCACCAUCCUGAAGCCUUGCCUCUAGCUCCCCACCCCGUAGGAGACACCCUGCCUCUGAGUGACAGCAGAGAUCCCCACCUGGGGCAGAUCCCAAGGCCUGUAAGGAGGUGUUCAGAGUGUGGUUCUGCAGCAACAGCUUUUUGGGCUCGAAGCCCAUGUUUAGUCACUUAGUCGUUCGUAAGCCAUGUGGCCUUGGGUCCAUUCCUCAACCCUGCUGUGCCUGGCUCCUCACCUGUAAACCGAGCAUGAAACUAACAGAACCCACCGCAUACAGUUGUGAGGAAUGAAUGAGUUCAUAGGUGGGAAGUACUUCGAAUUAGUCCUGGGCACAGAGGAAGCACUCGACAAAUACUAGUCGGGGUCGCCACGUUCAUUAUCACUAUCAGUGGUAUGAUUAAGAUAACCUAGUCUCCUAUGCAUUGGUUGGGAAAUUAGGGUCAAUGACAACGUAGCAAUACAGUUGGUGAGUUAGGAAGAAAAAAAUUUAAAGGAAAACCCCAAUUCUAUGUCUAUCCCCAGUGAUCGGAACUCAAGUUGCAAGCUGCUUUAAAAUGACUCAGUGCUUAGCUGCACACUGGGACUGGGCCCAGCGACCCCGUUCUGGGGAGCGCUCACCUCCCUUUGUACCACUUCACCUGCUGCUGCUAACACUCUUGCUAUAAGGGUGAAAUCACAUAAUCGUAUGUUUGCAGUUUUGUGGUAAAAUAAACAUAACUUCAAAGGAUUAUUAUGCAAAGCCCCCACACCACUGCCAUAAGCCUAAUUGUUAUUCUUCUCUGUCACCCCUUGAGCCCAAAGUACAUAAUCACCCAGUAAUUGAACUGAAAUGUCUAAAUGGCUGAGGCUCCUAAAGGACAUAGCUAUUUACCAAUGAAAAAAGUCAGAAAAAUUUAGCAAACCUCCCUGGCGCUCUGCUGCGUUAGUACAAAAGACUGUGUAAAUAUGACCCACCUGGACCUGCUCCUCCUCCUCAAAUCAUUAAUGGAAACAGAACAAUCCUUGCUGUCACGGGGCAAUGUGAGAGAAAUAAUUAAAAUAUCACAAUUGCUUAGCUGUUUCUGAACAGAGCGGUGUAAGCUCUAACCUUUCUCAGGAUAUAAUUUUAUGAAAAUUUAAGCAAAAGGCAGAAAAGUAAAUUUUCCUGGUCGUAUCAUUAAGUGCUUCUGGGGCUGGGGGGAGAAGCCAGGGGGCCUCAAUGUCAAUGCUUCCCUCAAUACAGACUGGGCAGUGAGUCCUGGGCUUUCAGGGAUGGGGGUCACCCUGGAGGAUGGGCGUUUUCAUGGCAAGGGUCCUGACAUUCUCAGUAGAGCCCGCCGUGCUCUAAUCUGCAGAAAGAAGCCUCAUCUCAAACACUGAAUACAACAGCAGCCAGUUUUCUUUUUAAAAUUGUAGAUUUUUAAAAGCUCAGAAAUCAGGUUUUCCUCUUUGGAGUAACACAGAACUAAUUCCAGGGUCCUUGGGGUCUUUGCUGGUGGAGUAAGCCCUACCCCUCUACUCCCAUCAUUAAAUAUCUGGAUAGACACACAGGUUAAUUAUACAUAUUUUUAAAUUUUGCAAAGGAUUCUCUGAAGGACGCAUCUCAGCCCAUCUAAGUACAAAACAGCCAUCACUCAAUGGCUAAACUCGGCAAUCCUUGGCACCCAGUGGAGUUAAAAAUUUUAAUUAUCAUUUUUUAAAACGCAAUACUUAUCAUUUGAAUGAAACAUGUCAGCACACAAAUCAUGAAAUGAUGAUUCUGAAUAGAAUUUUUGUUGGUUGAUUGCAUAAGCAAUACCUCUUGUUGCUGAAAUAACAUCUCAAAGGCAAAAUAAUGACGACAUGACAAUCCGUGUAAAUCAAG
rnacentral:lncRNA from 10 species